rnacentral:tRNA from 1 species
GCGCCAUUGGCUCAACGGAUAGAGCAACGGACUUCUAAUCCGUAGGUUGCAGGUUCGAUUCCUGCAUGGCGCACCA